rnacentral:rRNA from 1 species
AGUGAACGCUGGCGGUAGGCCUAACACAUGCAAGUCGAGCGGCAGCACAGGAGAGCUUGCUCGCUGGGUGGCGAGUGGCGGACGGGUGAGGAAUACAUCGGAAUCUACUCUGUCGUGGGGGAUAACGUAUGGAAACUUACGCUAAUACCGCAUACGACAUAUCGGUUAAACCAGGGGAUCUUCGUACCUCGCGCGAUUGAAUGAGCCGAUGUCGGAUUAGGCAGUUGGCGGGGUAAAGGCCCAACAAGGCGACGAUCCGUAGCUGGUACUGAGAGGAUGAUCAGCCACACUGAAACUGAGACACGGUUCAGACUCCUACGGGAGGCAGUAGUGGGGAAUAUUGGACAAUGGGCGCAAGCCUGAUCCAGCCAUACCGCGUGGGUGAAGAAGGCCUUCGGGUUGUAAAGCCCUUUUGUUGGGAAAGAAAUCCAGCUGGUUAAUACCCGGUUGGGAUGACGGUACCCAAAGAAUAAGCACCGGCUAACUUCGUGCCAGCCGCCGCAGUAA